rnacentral:rRNA from 1 species
AUUGAACGCUGGCGGCAUGCCUUACACAUGCAAGUCGAACGGCAGCACGGGUGCUUGCACCUGGUGGCGAGUGGCGAACGGGUGAGUAAUACAUCGGAACGUACCUUAUCGUGGGGGAUAACGCAGCGAAAGCUGUGCUAAUACCGCAUACGCCCUGAGGGGGAAAGCGGGGGAUCGCAAGACCUCGCGCGAUUAGAGCGGCCGAUGCCUGAUUAGCUUGUUGGUGGGGUAAAAGCCCACUAAGGCGACGAUCAGUAGCUGGUCUGAGAGGACGUUCAGCCACACUGGGACUGAGACACGGCCCAGACUCCUACGGGAGGCAGCAGUGGGGAAUUUUGGACGAUGGGGGCAACCCUGAUCCAGCAAUGCCGCGUGAGUGAAGAAGGCCUUCGGGUUGUAAAGCUCUUUUGUCAGGGAAGAAACACCGGCUCUAACACAGUCCGGGAAUGACGGUACCUGAAGAAUAAGCACCGGCUAACUACGUGCCAGCCGCCGCCGUAA